rnacentral:lncRNA from 1 species
AGUGGUUGGGGCAGGUGGAGAGGAGGUGGCAGAACAGAUAGCUGAGCCACACAGGAGUCCCCACAAGGGAAAUAUGGAGGCAGGUGACUAGGAAAUGAGGAAGCUACUAACAGGGAAGAAAUGAUAUGAAACAGCCCUACUGCAAAUUCUCAGAGCCUGGCUUUGCUGAUGAAGUUAAAGAAGGUAGAAGAAGCCCAUGAGGAUACAUUGAAGGAGACAACAUUAAGAUAAAGACAUUCACACCAAAAGUCAGGUGACUUGCUUUGGAAAACACAGCACAUCGGUGUUUUCUCCAUGCUGGAACUUGUGGGUUCCUUCCUCAAUGGGAUGCCAAACUGACAAAAUGAGAUGAAACUACAAAUGUGUAUUCACAGAGACACAGCAUUACAGUUUACUUUUGAG